CCAAGCCAUUUUCCAAGUUUGUUUACAACGUAGUAACUCUUUUAUGUUUGCCUAAUUUCCAGCUUCUUGUUCAAUAAACUGAGUGGAGAAGAGGAUCAGCCAGUUGCAAAGUAAAAAUAGCACUAGUAAAAGAACUCUUACUGGUUUUGACCACCUAUAAUGAAUCUUCCUCCAAUUGUUUUAUGGGCUCUAACCAGCUCUUGCCUCUUGCCUCUAAUUUAGACCAGAAAACAUGUGUAGCCCCGUUUUCUUAACAACAGUAAACACAUCUUGUCAGCUUACAAGAACGUCAAGACUCUGCUGUAGGCUUGACAUAUCAUGGCAUCAUGGGACCUUUCGGUAUCCUUCAUGAGGUUGACUUGCUACCCAAUUUGCUCUUGAUACAAUUCUAACCAGCCCUAUUGCAACUCGCAAGUGCAUGCUCAAUUAUUCCUAAGUUGGAGGAAAAAAAAAGGUUUCUGACAUGAAAAUUUCUGCGGUUAGGGAAUGAGUCUGGGAUGAUGAGAUAACUUAACCCCUGAUAAAUAUAAUUUCUCCAUAAAAAAGGGAAUUUGUAGCACUGAAUAAGGUAACUAAUUUGUAGCUCAUUAAAUAAAGUGAAAUACUAUCCAAGGAACAACAUGACCUAAGAGUUGAAAAUGCUCAACUUUUUUUGUUCUUUUGGUUGACUGGAUUCCUACCAUGGGAUAUUUAUUCAAUAAAAACGUUUUCCCCCUGUACUCCUCGUAUGAGGAAUGAAGGAACGAAGAGACUUCUAAGAAAUUUGACUGUUUCAAACUGGCGUCUAGUCAAAGUAAACACCACAGAAAUCAAGCUUAGCAAAACGUUACGUUGACGGUGAGAACAAGAACUUGAAGAAGAUCGAGGAGGCAGAUCACAGCCAAACAGAGAACUCACCUACAAUGAAGGAAGAGAUUUUGUCUAUCCUACCUUGGCUCAGUUUGUAAUUUGCCAUAUUAUCUUUUGUGCAAGCCCAAAAUCCAAAAAAACCAGAACAACCUCUCAAAGUCAAGCAAUGGUUGUAGAACAGAUAUUACUGAGUUAUACCAUUUUUCUUGCUAUUCUGCUUCCAUUUUCCUCAUCAAUAUCUCCGAGUGUCCAAUUCGUAAAUUAUAAUUCAACUGCCUAUCUUCCCGCUUCGUGGACCAAUAUGCACUAUGAUCCCAUGAUGACACCCAUCCUCCUGAGAGAAAGCGAUGGACCAAGUUAUGUGUGCGGCUUUUACUGUAACUCAGGAGGUAGUGAUGGUGGAUGCCUCUUUGGAGUCCUCAUUGCCCAAGGUCGGCUCAAUACUGGCGGAUAUCUGCGGUCCUCAGAAUUAGUUUGGUCUGCUAACAGGAAUAAUCUUGUUCAGGGUGAGGCAACGUUGCAACUAAAGGAAGAUGGAGAUCUGGUCUUAGCAAACAUUGACGGCACCUUAAUAUGGUCCAGCAAUACGCGAGGAAAGUCUGUUUCAGGCUUAAACUUGACAGAAAUGGGAAACCUGGUGCUAUUUGGCCCAAACAAUGAAUCCAUUUGGCAGUCUUUUGAUCAUCCCACCGACUCAUUACUUCUGGGACAAAAAUUGGCUCCCGGGCAGAAGCUGACAGCUAGUGUUUCCGCAUCCAAUUGGAGUGAAGGUCGGCUUUCUCUUGCUGUUGGCUCCGAUGGCUUGUCAGCUUAUAUAGAGUCUGAUCCACCUCAAAGAUACUAUGAAUCUGGCAUCAAUAGUUAUCCUUAUUAUGAGUUCAGGAAAGGAAGCUUCAAUGACUUUACAAUUCCUCCAGCAUCAGUAGCUCAAUUCAUGAAGUUUGGGCCCGAUGGGCAUUUAAAAGUAUACCAGUGGGGAACAGUGGGUGAAUUUGUAGAGGUUAUUGAUCUUUUGAACCCAUAUGUUGGUGACUGUGGAUACCCUAUGGUGUGCGGCAAAUAUGGGGUCUGUUCAAAAGGGCAAUGCGGCUGUAUUGAAACAACCAAUGGCCAGGAGAGCUAUUUCAGCCAAAUAACGUUCAGACAACCCGAUCUUGGAUGUUCACUAAUCACUCCAAUUUCUUGUGAUCACUCCCAAGAUCAUACUCUUCUAGAGCUAAAUAAUACAUCUUACUUUGCAUCUGAUUCAAGCUCAUACAGCAUAACGACAGUAAUGGAGGAAUGCAAAAGUAAAUGUCUAAGUAGCUGUUCAUGCAAAGCAGCUCUGUUUUAUAAUGAUCGAUAUCAAUGGGGUAGAGGCAAUUGCUUUUUGCUGAACGAAGUUUUUUCUAUUAUUAACAAUGAGAAUUAUAUCGGAUCACCAUAUAAUACAACUCUUCUCAUUAAGGUGCAAAAUGCCAACACGUCAAGGCGUAAAACAAUUAUACUGGCAGCAACAUCUGGGGCUUUCUUUGGUAUGGUAUGUUUAAUCGGCUCUUGCCUGGUCCUUUUGAGGAGGAUAUUGAAGGAAGCAGAUGAAAUUGAGGGGGAUUUUCUGAACCAGGUACCAGGAAUGCCUAUAAGAUAUUCUUAUGAGAACUUGAAAGCAAUGACAGAAGAUUUCAAGAAAAGGCUUGGGGAAGGAGGAUUCGGUUCUGUUUAUGAAGGGGCACUAUACAAUGGUACGAGGAUAGCAGUCAAGUGUCUUGAUGGUUUGGCUCAACUGAAGGACUCGUUUUUAGCGGAAGUGCAGAUAAUUGGUAGCAUCCACCAUGUUAACUUGAUAAAACUUACUGGUUUUUGUUUUGAGAAUUCUCACUGCCUUUUGGUUUACGAACAUAUGGCUAAUGGUUCUUUGGAUAGAUGGAUUUUUGGUGAAAUGCGAAGCUAUUCUCUUGCAUGGAGGACUAGGAGAAAAAUCAUCUCAGACAUUGCCAAGGGAUUAGCUUAUCUCCACGAAGAUUGCAGUCAGAGAAUAAUUCAUUUUGACAUCAAACCCCAAAACAUCCUUUUGGAUGAAAAUUUCAAUGCAAAAGUUGCUGAUUUUGGGUUGUCAAAGCUGAUUGACAAGGACCAAAGCAGAGUUGUUACAAGGAUGAGAGGAACACCAGGUUAUUUGGCUCCUGAAUGGUUGAGCUCCACUGUCACAGAAAAAGUGGACGUCUAUAGCUUUGGCAUUGUGAUGUUGGAAAUCCUUUGUGGGCGAAAGAACUUUGAUUCCUCGAAGAUUGAGGAAGACAGGCAUUUGCUCAGUAUUUUCAAGAGAAAAGCUGAAGAAGAAAGACUUGAGGACAUGGUUGACAGGAAAAGUGGUGAUAUGCUGAUCCACGUUGAGGAAGCUGUGGAGAUGAUGAGGAUUGCCGCACGGUGUCUGCAGGGAAAUUUCAACAACAGGCCUUCCAUGUCUUUAGUAGUCAAGGCACUGGAAGGUUUGGUAGUAGUAGCUGAAACCAAUCUGGACUGUGACUUCACGAAUUCAUCCACAGUUAGGACAGAGGCAGCUGGUGAUCAAGGACAGGUAGUUGUUUAUGUUGGUAGUCCAAUAUUGCCAUCAACUUUAUCCGGGCCGAGGUAGAUGCAAAACCCACAAUUUUUACGUUCGGUAGUCUCUAAAAUCCCAACAAAUAAGGUUCAAGUCCCAGAAUUUGUAGUCUGAAAUUAUGUCAGUAUAUGUAUGUCUUGCCGCCCUGUAUUGCUGAAUUAUUCCACCCCAAGUGCGUUGGCUUUUUGCUGAGAUAUGCAAGUCCCUAUGCAUAAUAGUCAAUAAUCACUAUCUUACAAUUUAUCUGUAAAAGGCAUUUCUUGUUUUGUUUUUGAGGGAAUAUCCAAAAGAUAUAUAGACAUCUGCAGGCCUCCCAAUCCCAAAAACAUCAACACAGUUAUGCGUUAUUACUAUGAGAUAAAUCCAGUCUUAUAUGGAGUACAGAGAUCAUUUUGAUCUUUAAAGCAACAUGUGUUUCUGCAGUAAAUUGAUACGGUAGAUAUUCGUUUGUGUGUAUGUGCUCAAAAGUUACACUUUGGAGAGUUACUUCUCCGAUUGAUUUCAGAAAGAAUAGCGCAUUUUCAAAAAAAAAAAAAAAAGCGAGUGCAACAUUUUCAACGAGCAAUAUAAAUCCAAGAGUCAAGACAGCAUAAAACGUUCUCAACUUUGCUGCUAUGACUAUGACUCGGGCUCAAAGAUUCAAAGUCCUUAAAGAAGUGUAUACUACUCCCAUAACCACGAUGAAAUGAUCAGUAAAAGAGUAACAGAUUAUUGAUUGUGUGUUAAAUUGGUACGUUUACUGUCUCUCCAUUUCUUUCACCAGCUCCUAAAGCUAGAGGUGCAGACGAAUCGAGCUGUUCACGAGUGACUCGAGUCAAGUUCGACUUGAGAUCGGUCAAUAUCGAGCUCGAGUCGAAUUCGAGUUGGCCGAAUCGAACUCAAGUUCAAAAUAUUAAACUCGCUAGGCUCGCGAGCUCGAGUAUAUAUAUUAUUUUUUAUUUUAAUAAUAAAAUUAAUAUAUAUCCUUAAUAUUUAUUAUUUGCUAAAAAAAUAUUAUUUUAUUUAUUUUUAAAAAAUAAAAUAAUUAUUUUUAUUUUUUCGAGCUUGAGCUUCAAAAUUUUUAGGUCGUUGAGCUCGAACUCGAGUUCGAGUUCGAUAAAACUAAGUUAAGACUCGACUUGAUUAGAUCAAAGUUCGAUUCAACUCGGUUCGUUUGGAACCCUAUCUAAAGCAAAUUUCGGGAAAGGUGCAUACAAACAUGUCAUAUUAGUAAUUGGUAAUUUUGACUCUCUGGCUUUUAGGAUUACAAAGCUUUAUUGAAUACUAUAAAUUCCACAAGUUAGAAAGCUUUAGUUGGUUCAUCAAUCCAUUGAGAAAAACAGGCCCAAUCCCUUUUACGUAAAAGUAGAAAUGAGAGAAAGAAAGCUAUUCUGCUGAGUAGGCUCGUGGAACUGCUUGGUCAAGGGAACAAUGAAACGAUCUAUAAGCCCUGGUAAUUACCCAAUAAGAUAAUCCAAAUGACAGAUUGUGUUAUUAGGUGUGCAGUAUCUUCUUCUUCUUCUUCUUUGUUUUUUUGGGUGUAAAAAUGACAGAUUCGAUUAGUUCAAUAAAUCCUGUCUAAUCAUUAUUAUUAUAAGUUAACCACACCCAAGAAAUUUCCAAGCCACAUUGUAGUAAAAGUAAAAGUCAUCGACAAACUAAUUAGCAAUGCUGCCCACCACAUAAGCCUUGACUUGACAUUCUCUGCAUAAAUAUUUUCUAGUAAUACAUAAAAUAAAAGUAGUCUUUAAUUCAACACUCCACAAAUCGGUCUGUUCAGAGAAUUAUUGACCAUCUCGAAUGCAAGUCUAUUCUUGCUCAGAAUUCGUAUAAAUGAAGAACGAGCAUAUUCACAGAAGACUUGAUUAAAUUUUUUUUUCUACAAAUGAUAUUAGCUUUUAUAUAUAUUAACACUUGAUACCAC
rnacentral:lncRNA from 1 species